rnacentral:rRNA from 1 species
CAAGGUGCUGCAUGGUUGUCGUCAGCUCGUGCCGUGAGGUGUUGGUUAAGUCCCGCAACGAGCGCAACCCCUAUUGUUAGUUACCAGCACGUAAUGGUGGGGACUCUAACGAGACUGCCUCCGCAAGGAGCGAGGAAGGAGGGGAUGACGUCAAAUCAUCAUGGCCUUUAUGCCUAGGGCGACACACGUGCUACAAUGGCAGAUACAGAGGGUCGCGAAACCGCGAGGUGGAGCCAAUCUCAGAAAGUCUGUCUCAGUUCGGAUUGGAGUCUGCAACUCGACUCCAUGAAGUUGGAAUCGCUAGUAAUCGCGCAUCAGCCAUGGCGCGGUGAAUACGUUCCCGGACCUUGUACACACCGCCCCGUCAAACCAUGGGAGCCGGGGGGUGCCUGAAGAUGGUGACUUUACGGGGAGCUAUCUAGGGUAAGACUGGUGACUGGGGG